UGUUAAAAAUCUCAUCCACUUGUACUGUUAAAAACUAGUGUGACUGACAAAAUAACCAGACAGUGAUACAUGAUGCGCCACGUGUUCAUGAUGUACAAGGACCAGUUUUUAAUAGUAAAAAUGUAUGAAACUUUUAAUA
rfam:Gossypium raimondii Chr02_contig_23, whole genome shotgun sequence.